rnacentral:tRNA from 1 species
GCGGGUGUAGCUCAGUUGGUUAGAGCGCCGGCCUGUCACGCCGGAGGUCG